rnacentral:rRNA from 1 species
UGGGGAAUCUUCCGCAAUGGACGAAAGUCUGACGGAGCAACGCCGCGUGAGUGAAGAAGGUUUUCGGAUCGUAAAACUCUGUCUUUUGGGGCGAACGUGAGUAUGGUGAACAAUCAUAGUCAGUGACGGUACCAAAGGAGGAAGCCACGGCUAACUACGUGCCAGCAGCCGCGGUAAUACGUAGGUGGCAAGCGUUGUCCGGAAUUAUUGGGCGUAAAGAGCGCGUAGGCGGGAUAGUCAGUCUGUUGUAAAGUGCGGGGCUCAACCCCGUGAUGGCAAUGGAAACAGCUAUUCUUGAGUGCAGGAGAGGAAAGUGGAAUUCCCAGUGUAGCGGUGAAAUGCGUAGAUAUUGGGAGGAACACCAGUGGCGAAGGCGACUUUCUGGACUGUGUCUGACGCUGAGGCGCGAAAGCCAGGGGGAGCGAACGGGAUUAGAUACCCCGGUAGUCCUGGCCGUAAACGAUGGGUACUAGGUGUGGGGGGUAUCGACCCCUUCCGUGCCGGAGUUAACGCAAUAAGUA